rnacentral:lncRNA from 1 species
CAUAGGGGGUCGUAUGGGGUCAUAGGGGAUCAUAUGGGGUGGGACGGGGUCACAUGGGGUCAUAUGGGGUGGGACGGGGUCAUGGGGGGUCAUAGGAGGUGCUGUGGGGUCGUAUAGGGUCAUAUAGGGUCACGGGGGGUCGUAUAGGGGGUCAUGGGGGUCGUAUGGGGUCAUAGGGGUGACCCCAUACGUCCCCGUGUGACGCUGUACAACCUGCUGUGUUCUUCUAUGUGAUCCUAUAUGACUUUACGUGUCCCUAUAUGUGACCCCCUGUGUCCCUAUAUGUGUCCCUAUAUGUGUCCCUGUAUGUAACCCUAUAUGUGACCCUGUAUGUGACCCUAUAUGUGUCCCUAUAUGUUUCCCUAUAUGUGUCCCUAUAUGUAAUCCUAUAUGUGACCCUAUAUGUGUCCCUAUAUGUAACCCUAUAUGUGUCCCUAUACGUGUCCCUAUAUGUUUCCCUAUAUGUGACCCUAUAUGUGUCCCUAUAUGUGACCCUAUACGUGUCCCUGUAUGUCCCCACACGUGCCCCCAUACGUGUCCCUAUAUGUGUCCCUAUACGUGUCCCUAUGUUUCCCUAUAUGUGUCCCUAUAUGUAACCCUAUACGUGUCCCUAUAUGUAACCCUAUAUGUGUCCCUAUAUGUGUCCCUAUAUGUGACCCCCUAUGUCCCUAUAUGUGUCCCUAUAUGUGACCCUAUACGUUCCUAUGUCCCUAUACGUGUCCCUACACGUGACCCCAUACGAUCCUAUGUCCCUAUAUGUGUCCCUAUAUGUAACCCUAUACGUUUCUA